rnacentral:lncRNA from 1 species
AGAUUAAGGGUCAACAGGGUCUGUCUACUGGUGCUACUUGACUAUAUUCAACCAUUAAUAAAAACAGCAACAACCAGGUGUUAGUUGAUGAAUCAGCUCAUAAGCCAGUGUAUGCUGAUCUGGCUAUUGCUGCUAAAGGGAAGAGACCACAGGGAGCACCAACACAAGAACAACCAGUGGUAUAUGCAUCAGUUAACAACAAAUCUGUUCCUUCUCCCAUUCCUCCUCCAGCUGCUCCUCAUAAAGUAUUGUAUGCUGAUCUAUCA